GUUCGGAUUGCAGGCUGCAACCCGCCUGCAUGAAGUUGGAAUCACUAGUAAUCGCGGAUCAGCAUGCCGCGGUGAAUGCGUUCUCGGGCCUUGUACACACCGCCCGUCACACCAUGAGAGUCGGGAACACCCGAAGUCCGUAGCCUAACCGCAAGGGGGGCGCGGCCGAAGGUGGGCUCGAUAAUUGGGGUGAAGUCGUAACAAGGUAUC
rnacentral:rRNA from 1 species